rnacentral:snRNA from 1 species
GUGCUUGCUUAGGCAGCACAUUUGCUAAUAUUGGAAUGAUACAGAGAAGAUUAGCAUAGACCCUGUGCAAAAAUGACACAAAAUCUGUAAAGCAUCAUGCAAAUACA